rnacentral:rRNA from 1 species
UACAGAGGUCUCAAGCGUUGUUCGGAUUCAUUGGGCGUAAAGGGUGCGUAGGCGGUUGUGUAAGUCAGAGGUGAAAUUCCGGGGCUCAACCUCGGAACUGCCUUUGAUACUGCUCAACUCGAGUACUGGAGAGGAGACUGGAAUUCACGGUGUAGCAGUGAAAUGCGUAGAUAUCGUGAGGAAGACCAGUGGCGAAGGCGAGUCUCUGGACAGUUACUGACGCUGAGGCACGAAGGCUAGGGGAGCAAACGGGAUUAGAUACCCCGGUAGUCCUAGCAGUAAACGGUGCACGUUUGGUAUGGGAGGAAUCGACCCCUUCCGUGCCGUAGCUAACGCGUUAAACGUGCCGCCUGGGGAGUACGGUCGCAAGAUUA